UGGGGAAUAUUGGACAAUGGGGGAAACCCUGAUCCAGCAAUGCCGCGUGUGUGAAGAAGGCCUGCGGGUUGUAAAGCACUUUCAGUGAAGAAGAAGGCUGAUGUAUGAAUAGUGCAUUAGAUUGACGUUAUUCACAGAAGAAGCACCGGCUAACUCUGUGCCAGCAGCCGCGGUAAUACAGAGGGUGCAAGCGUUAAUCGGAAUUACUGGGCGUAAAGGGUGCGUAGGUUGUUAUAUAAGUUAGAUGUGAAAUCCACGGGCUCAACCUGUGGACUGCGUUUAAUACUGUAUAGCUAGAGUAUUGUAGAGGUAAGUGGAAUUUCCGGUGUAGCGGUGAAAUGCGUAGAUAUCGGAAGGAACACCAGUGGCGAAGGCGGCUUACUGGACAAAUACUGACACU
rnacentral:rRNA from 1 species